CUUUACUGCCUCUCUCCAGCCAGCUCCAGCACUACAGGACAGAGAUUGGAAUUAAAUGUCACGUGGAUAAAAGCCAACAUGGCAUUCUGUUAAGAAGAUAGGCAACCUAAAUGAUGUCUAUCCUGCUUCAACGAAAAAACUCAGGAGGCUGUACACUCAUUUAGAGCAGAGUAGACGAAACCUCCUAUGCUCUGGCUUGGGAACCAGGAGGAAUCACUGACUGAGAUUUGCCAACCAGACUUCUAUGAAGUGAGCUCUAUCACAUGGUACGUUGAUGAGAAGAAGAACCAGCAAUGUUUCUUUCCAUCUUCAACUAUACUAACAAGAUCCAUCUGAUGUCUUGCUUUGACCAGAUCAAGUUCUUUAAGUGACUUUUCCUGGUCUCAAAGAAAGCUUGUUACUGUGGAGAAGCAGGAUAAUGAAACAUUUGGAUUUGAAAUUCAGUCUUACAGGCCCCAGAAUCAGAAUGCCUGCUCCUCGGAAAUGUUCACUUUGAUAUGCAAAAUACAGGAGGACAGCCCAGCUCACUGUGCUGG
rnacentral:sRNA from 1 species